rnacentral:rRNA from 1 species
GACGAACGCUGGCGGCGCGCCUAACACAUGCCAGUCGAACGGAGCUGAGAGAAGCUUGCUUUUCUUAGCUUAGUGGCGAACGGGUGAGUAACGCGUGAGUAACCUGCCCUGGAGUGGGGGACAACAGUUGGAAACGACUGCUAAUACCGCAUAAGCCCACGAUCCGGCAUCGGAUUGAGGGAAAAGGAUUUAUUCGCUUCAGGAUGGACUCGCGUCCAAUUAGCUAGUUGGUGAGGUAACGGCCCACCAAGGCGACGAUUGGUAGCCGGACUGAGAGGUUGACCGGCCACAUUGGGACUGAGACACGGCCCAGACUCCUACGGGAGGCAGCAGUGGGGGAUAUUGCACAAUGGGGGAAACCCUGAUGCAGCGACGCCGCGUGGAGGAAGAAGGUUUUCGGAUUGUAAACUCCUGUCGUUAGGGUCGAUAAUGACGGUACCUAACAAGAAAGCACCGGCUAACUACGUG